rnacentral:misc_RNA from 1 species
CUCUUAGGAUCAGUGGCAGAGAAGACAGUAUAGACAAGAACAAAGGUACCAAUGAUCUCAGCACCCAAACCAGUGCCCUUGCUGUACCCAGAAGAGAGUUCGUUGGCCCCACCUCCAUACCUGGUGUAAUAAGCCUUUUGGAAGGCCUUGACCAAACCACACCCACAUAUUGCACCCAGGCACUGUGCUACCAUGUACAAAAGGGCCCUGAUUAGUGACACCUUGCGUCCCAGGAACAGCCCGAAGGUCACAGCUGGGUUAAUAUGUCCUCCAGAGAUACCAGCAGUGCAGUA